rnacentral:tRNA from 2 species
GCGGGAUGGCAGAGUGGUUAUGCAGCGGCCUGCAAAGCCGUGGACGCCGGUUCGAUUCCGACUCCCG